rnacentral:ncRNA from 25 species
AGCAAUACUGGCGGCGUCGAUCUGAUCACUUGAAAUGGUCGCUUGUCGGAGCACAAACUCCGGCGGGUGUUCAGGGAGCCAAAUAGCGAAACCGGCCCAUUGCC